CCUACGGGGGGCAGCAGUGGGGGAUAUUGCACAAUGGGGGAAACCCUGAUGCAGCGACGCCGCGUGGGUGAAGAAGCGCCUCGGCGCGUAAAGCCCUGUCAGCAGGGAAGAAAAUGACGGUACCUGAAGAAGAAGCCUCGGCUAACUACGGGCCAGCCGCCGCGGUUAUACGUAGGGGGCAGGCGUUAUCCGGAUUUACUGGGGGUAAAGGGGGCGCAGACGGGGAUGCAAGCCAGGGGUGAAAGCCCGGGGCCGAACCCCGGGACUGCGGUUGGAACUGGGUGGCUAGAGUGCAGGAGGGGAAGGCGGAAUUCCUGGUGUAGCGGUGAAAGGCGUAGAUAUCAGGAGGAACACCGGUGGCGAAGGCGGCCUGCUGGACUGCAACUGACGUUGAGGCCCGAAAGCGUGGGGAGCAAACAGGAUUAGAUACCCGAGUAGUC
rnacentral:rRNA from 1 species